UACGGGGGGGGCAAGCGUUGUUCGGAAUUACUGGGCGUAAAGGGCUCGUAGGCGGCCAACUAAGUCAGACGUGAAAUCCCUCGGCUUAACCGGGGAACUGCGUCUGAUACUGGAUGGCUUGAGUUCGGGAGAGGGAUGCGGAAUUCCAGGUGUAGCGGUGGAAUGCGCAGAUAUCAGGAGGAACACCGGUGGCGAAGGCGGGUCUCUGGGCAGUAACUGACGCUGAGGAGCGAAAGCGUGGGGAGCGAACAGG
rnacentral:rRNA from 1 species